rnacentral:rRNA from 1 species
GGUUAUUUCUGCAAGCUGUUUUAUUGUGGCGUUAUUGUUAAGUUCAAAUUCACCAAUCAGCAAAUCAUCGGGAGAAACUUCAAGGGCAUUGCAUACCUUUAUCAUACAUUCAAGUGACAUUGCAACAGAACCUGUUUCAAGGUGUGACAUAUGAAUUGUUGAAAUGUCGAUAAUUUCCGCAAGCUGUGCCUGCGUGAACCCUUUUUGCUUUCUGUAUUUUUUAAUUCUGUUACCUAUUUCUUUAAGGUUUAGCAUUGUUUAUCACCAAGUAAAUAUUAUCUUUUAAAAGGAUAAAAAUAAAUAAAUUAUUAAAGAUAGUAUUGCUUUGAUAAGGAUAGUAUGCUAUAAUCAGGUUAGUUAAUGAGUGAUAUUUGAUGUUUUGUAAUAAAUGCGGUGGAAUAAUGACAUUUAACGGUAGUAUAGAUAUGUCUUGAAUUUGUGUUAUAGUGACACACAUUAAAUAUAACUUUAAAAAUGCAAAGAUAAUAAAAACCGCCUCAAAUGGCGGUAAAACAUACUAAUAAUUAUAUAAUUGUAGGAGGAUGACAUUAUAUGGAAGUUUUGGGAUAUAUUAUAGCAAUUGGCUUUGUAGUGUUUGGUUUUACCGGGGGUAGAGCACUGUUUCGGCAAGGGGGUCAUCCCGACUUACCAACCCGAUGCAAACUGCGAAUACCGGAGAAUGUUAUCACGGGAGACACACGGCGGGUGCUAACGUCCGUCGUGAAGAGGGAAACAACCCAGACCGCCAGCUAAGGUCCCAAAGUCAUGGUUAAGUGGGAAACGAUGUGGGAAGGCCCAGACAGCCAGGAUGUUGGCUUAGAAGCAGCCAUCAUUUAAAGAAAGCGUAAUAGCUCACUGGUCGAGUCGGCCUGCGCGGAAGAUGUAACGGGGCUAAACCAUGCACCGAAGCUGCGGCAGCGACACUAUGUGUUGUUGGGUAGGGGAGCGUUCUGUAAGCCUGUGAAGGUGGCCUGUGAGGGUUGCUGGAGGUAUCAGAAGUGCGAAUGCUGACAUAAGUAACGAUAAAGCGGGUGAAAAGCCCGCUCGCCGGAAGACCAAGGGUUCCUGUCCAACGUUAAUCGGGGCAGGGUGAGUCGACCCCUAAGGCGAGGCCGAAAGGCGUAGUCGAUGGGAAACAGGUUAAUAUUCCUGUACUUGGUGUUACUGCGAAGGGGGGACGGAGAAGGCUAUGUUGGCCGGGCGACGGUUGUCCCGGUUUAAGCGUGUAGGCUGGUUUUCCAGGCAAAUCCGGAAAACCAAGGCUGAGGCGUGAUGACGAGGCACUACGGUGCUGAAGCGACAAAUGCCCUGCUUCCAGGAAAAGCCUCUAAGCAUCAGGUAACAUCAAAUCGUACCCCAAACCGACACAGGUGGUCAGGUAGAGAAUACCAAGGCGCUUGAGAGAACUCGGGUGAAGGAACUAGGCAAAAUGGUGCCGUAACUUCGGGAGAAGGCACGCUGAUAUGUAGGUGAAGCGACUUGCUCGUGGAGCUGAAAUCAGUCGAAGAUACCAGCUGGCUGCAACUGUUUAUUAAAAACACAGCACUGUGCAAACACGAAAGUGGACGUAUACGGUGUGACGCCUGCCCGGUGCCGGAAGGUUAAUUGAUGGGGUUAGCGGCAACGCGAAGCUCUUGAUCGAAGCCCCGGUAAACGGCGGCCGUAACUAUAACGGUCCUAAGGUAGCGAAAUUCCUUGUCGGGUAAGUUCCGACCUGCACGAAUGGCGUAAUGAUGGCCAGGCUGUCUCCACCCGAGACUCAGUGAAAUUGAACUCGCUGUGAAGAUGCAGUGUACCCGCGGCAAGACGGAAAGACCCCGUGAACCUUUACUAUAGCUUGACACUGAACAUUGAGCCUUGAUGUGUAGGAUAGGUGGGAGGCUUUGAAGUGUGGACGCCAGUCUGCAUGGAGCCGACCUUGAAAUACCACCCUUUAAUGUUUGAUGUUCUAACGUUGGCCCCUAAUCGGGGUUGCGGACAGUGUCUGGUGGGUAGUUUGACUGGGGCGGUCUCCUCCUAAAGAGUAACGGAGGAGCACGAAGGUUGGCUAAUCCUGGUCGGACAUCAGGAGGUUAGUGCAAUGGCAUAAGCCAGCUUGACUGCGAGCGUGACGGCGCGAGCAGGUGCGAAAGCAGGUCAUAGUGAUCCGGUGGUUCUGAAUGGAAGGGCCAUCGCUCAACGGAUAAAAGGUACUCUGGGGAUAACAGGCUGAUUCCUCCCAAGAGUUCAUAUCGACGGGGGAGUUUGGCACCUCGAUGUCGGCUCAUCACAUCCUGGGGCUGUAGUCGGUCCCAAGGGUAUGGCUGUUCGCCAUUUAAAGUGGUACGUGAGCUGGGUUUAAAACGUCGUGAGACAGUUUGGUCCCUAUCUGCCGUGGGCGUUGGAAGUUUGAGAGGGGCUGCUCCUAGUACGAGAGGACCGGAGUGGACGAACCUCUGGUGUACCGGUUGUCACGCCAGUGGCAUUGCCGGGUAGCUAAGUUCGGGAAAGAUAACCGCUGAAAGCAUCUAAGCGGGAAACUUGCCUCAAGAUAAGACUUCCCGGAGACUAGAUCUCCCUGAAGAGUCGUUCGAGACCAGGACGUUGAUAGGCUGGGUGUGGAAGCGCAGUAAUGCGUUAAGCUAACCAGUACUAAUUGCUCGUGAGGCUUGU